UAGGGAAUCUUCCGCAAUGGGCGAAAGCCUGACGGAGCAACGCCGCGUGAGUGAUGAAGGUCUUCGGAUCGUAAAACUCUGUUAUUAGGGAAGAACAAAUGUGUAAGUAACUAUGCACGUCUUGACGGUACCUAAUCAGAAAGCCACGGCUAACUACGUGCCAGCAGCCGCGGUAAUACGUAGGUGGCAAGCGUUAUCCGGAAUUAUUGGGCGUAAAGCGCGUGUAGGCGGUUUUUUAAGUCUGAUGUGAAAGCCCACGUCUCAACCGUGGAGGGUCCUUGGCCACUGGAAAACUUGAGUGCAUAAGAGGAAAGUGGACUUCCCUGUGUAGCGGUGAAAUGCGCAGAGAUAUGGAGGAACACCAGUGGCGAACGCGACUUUCUGGUCUGUAACUGACGCUGAUGUGCGAAAGCGCGGGGAUCAAACAGG
rnacentral:rRNA from 1 species